CACCCGCACCGCGCGGCGCUCACACCGAGGGUCCCCUUCGGGAGCGGCGGGGGUCCCGGGGCUGCCCCUCGCUGGGCUCCGAGUGACACUCUGGGGCACCAGUGACAUGAGUCACGGCUGUGCUCGUCCUGCCUGGACCCGACUGGCUGAAGGGCACAAUUCAACAUCUCCCCAGGCGUAGAUUUCUUUCCUCGCGAGUAGGGAUACCCUUCCUAUCAGAUUGUGCUUUUAAUCGGUUCCAUGCACCUAUACCACUUCUCCAUCUUUUCCUAUUGUUCACUUGGGGUUUUUUUCUGACUGCCUAUGUUGGUAGGAAGUUGCAAUUUGGGUUUGUGUUUUCUAUUCUUUUUUUAUUCUCAUUAUUUCACAAGUAAUGACAAGGGUAGUUUUGGAAAUCCCUCAGCUCCUGUCUUGCAAGGAGCUUGAAGAACAGCAAGAAGAUGGUUGUGUGGAAAGGAAGUAAGAGAGAACCAACCAAACAAAAAGGCUGCAGGUAAUGGUCAUGGAGUGCUUGAAGGGCAUCUGCCUUCCCUCAUCACAAAGUGAAGGUGCAGAGCAGAACUCAGAAUUCUCAUGGCAAAAAAAGGCCAGAGAGCAGAUGAGGGAGUCAGCGCAAGGGUUCAAGAAGGAGCAGAUGGAAACAGCUGCCAACAGAUGAGUACUGGAAUGGAUUCAAGCCACGCUACUUGCUGGAACUUGAAAGUUUGUGAUGGACUGAGCUUUCCCAACCACAGAUGCUGUCUGAAGACUGUGAAUAUCUUUGCUGUUCCUGCACCAACAAACCUGACAUGAUGGAAAGAUGAUAAAACAGAGCAUGGAGUUCACCAAGCAAUGAUUUCAGGAAGAAAUGUAAUUAAUAUUUUUCCCAGCAGAUGUGGCUGUUGGACCAGAAAAGGCUCAAGUUUGUUGUGGAAUAUUGAAAGUAGGAAAAAGAUCCUCUUCAUUCUCAUACUGGCAAAUGAUCUGAUGAAAUGUAAAAUUGGAGCAUUUAUUACAUGGAGUCAAAGUUGGACUUUGAUGAAGAUGAUGAGUGGCCAGUCCUGCUUCAGAGUCUCUUCUGAUCUGUGGGAGCCUGGGCUGCUCCACAGAAUGGUCCCAUGCCUCGACACUGAUUUAUCAUCCACCAUGACCCCAAGCUCAUGGAUGAGGAAGGAAUACCCAUGGCUGCUACCAUCCCUGCCCCUCUGGCUUCAGAAAAAUCACCAAGCUUGGAGCAUGACUGCCCCAGGAAGAAGGAGAAGCAACUACAUUGCUCUGCUCAACACAUGGCAGCUUGCUCCUCUCCUCUCCAGAGAACACUGACCUUCAAGGCCAUACAUGAUUAAAGGAGUGGGAGACAUUCCCUGGAAUUAGCUGUUCCCUCUUUCUUUUUCCUGCUUAAGAUCCUGCCAUGUGGGGACCCCACCUCCCUUCGCUGUGGGUGCCCAAGGCACGACAAAGGACUUUGUCUUCUGCCUGGGGAGGU